rnacentral:rRNA from 1 species
UACGGGAGGCAGCAGUGGGGAAUAUUGCACAAUGGGCGAAAGCCUGAUGCAGCUAUGCCGCGUGUAUGAAGAAGGCCUUAGGGUUGUAAAGUACUUUCAUCGGGGAGGAAAAACAAAACUAAUAAUUUUAUUUCUUGACGUUACCCGAAAAAGAAGCACCGGCUAACUCCGUGCCAGCAGCCGCGGUAAUACGGAGGGUGCUAGCGUUAAUCAGAAUUACUGGGCGUAAAGAGCACGUAGGUGGUUUUUUUAAGUCAGAUGUGAAAUCCCUGGGCUUAACCUAGGAACUGCAUUUUGAAACUGAAAUACUAGAGUAUCGUAGAGGGAGGUAGAAUUCUAGGUGUAGCGGUGAAAUGCGUAGAUAUCUGGAGGAAUACCUGUGGCGAAAGCGGCCUCCUAAACGAAUACUGACACUGAGGUGCGAAAGCGUGGGGAGCAAACAGGGAUUGGAUACC